GUUUAAAUAAAACUUUACAUUUUCAUUGUAAAAAUAAAAAAGUUUUUUUUAUAAAUA
rnacentral:tRNA from 1 species